UACGAAGGGGGCUAGCGUUGCUCGGAAUCACUGGGCGUAAAGGGUGCGUAGGCGGGUCUUUAAGUCAGGGGUGAAAUCCUGGAGCUCAACUCCAGAACUGCCUUUGAUACUGAAGAUCUUGAGUUCGGGAGAGGUGAGUGGAACUGCGAGUGUAGAGGUGAAAUUCGUAGAUAUUCGCAAGAACACCAGUGGCGAAGGCGGCUCACUGGCCCGAUACUGACGCUGAGGAGUGAAAGCCAGGGGAGCAAACGGG
rnacentral:rRNA from 1 species